rnacentral:rRNA from 1 species
GUUUUGAUUAUGGCUCAGAUUGAACGCUGGCGGAAUGCUUUACACAUGCAAGUCGAACGGCAGCAUAGAGAGCUUGCUCUCUGAUGGCGAGUGGCGAACGGGUGAGUAAUAUAUCGGAACGUGCCUAGUAAUGGGGAAUAACUAGCUGAAAGGUUAGCUAAUGCCGCAUACGACCUAAGGGUGAAAGCAGGGGAUCUUCGGACCUUGCGUUAUUAGAGCGGCCGAUAUCUGAUUAGCUUGUUGGUGGGGUAAUGGCCUACCAAGGCAACGAUCAGUAGCUGGUCUGAGAGGACGAUCAGCCACACUGGAACUGAGACACGGUCCAGACUCCUACGGGAGGCAGCAGUGGGGAAUUUUGGACAAUGGGGGCAACCCUGAUCCAGCCAUUCCGCGUGAGUGAAGAAGGCCUUCGGGUUGUAAAGCUCUUUCGCAAGAGAAGAAAACUUGCUAUCUAAUAAAUAGUAAGCAUGACGGUAUCUGACA